rnacentral:pre_miRNA from 1 species
GAUUGGAGGCAGGAGGAUCACAAGUGUGAGGCCAGCCUCAGCAACUUAGCUCUUUUCAUUUUUUGCUUUGAGACAGGGUCUAGCUAAGUUGCUGAGGCUGGCCUCACACUUGUGAUCCUCCUGCCUCCAACU